rnacentral:misc_RNA from 1 species
AACGCAUAUUGCGCCCUCUGGUACUCCGGGGGGCACACCUGUCCGAGCGCCAUUUGAACCCUUCAAGCUUCGCUUGGCGUUGGGCGAUGUCCGCAGGGGACCCGCCCGCAACCCGUAGGCGGCCGCGGCCCGGCCCUCCAGCGUAGCAAGCCUAAGAAGCAUCCGCUGGAGGGGAAGGCGCGGCCCGCCCCCUUGGAAACGGCCCCUUCAGGGGGGUUUGUUCGUAAAAAGGUUGGCCUCGGAUCAGGUGGGGAUACCCGCUGAACUUAA